GACGAACGCUGGCGGCGUGCUUAACACAUGCAAGUCGAACGGAAAGGCCCUGCUUUUGUGGGGUGCUCGAGUGGCGAACGGGUGAGUAACACGUGAGUAACCUUCCCUUGACUUUGGGAUAACUUCAGGAAACUGGGGCUAAUACCGGAUAGGAGCUCCUGCUGCAUGGUGGGGGUUGGAAAGUUUCGGCGGUUGGGGAUGGACUCGCGGCUUAUCAGCUUGUUGGUGGGGUAGUGGCUUACCAAGGCUUUGACGGGUAGCCGGCCUGAGAGGGUGACCGGCAACAUUGGGACUGGGCUACGGCCCAGACUCCUACGGGAGGCAGCAGUGGGGAAUAUUGCACAAUGGGCGGAAGCCUGAUGCAGCAACGCCGCGUGCGGGAUGACGGCCUUCGGGUUGUAAACCGCUUUCGCCUGUGACGAAGCGUGAGUGACGGUAAUGGGUAAAGAAGCACCGGCUAACUACGUG
rnacentral:rRNA from 1 species